CUCCCUCUCCCCGCACCACUUCUCGCCGCCGCCACCACCACCUACGGUGCCCGAUCCCGCCCGAUUCCAGCGUCCUCCGGCGGCGCCCAGCACACCAUCGUGUCCCCCUCUCAACGCUCCUUCCUCCCAUCGGGCAAGAUCCGACGCGCGCGUCCUCCAGCGGCCAAGCGUGACCCUGCCCACCAGCUAGGGUUUGUGCCAGCACGUCGCCGGCGUGGCUCCGGCCUUGCUCCGGUGACUCAG
rnacentral:lncRNA from 1 species